GAUGAACGCUGACAGAAUGCUUAACACAUGCAAGUCGAUGGGGAAGUGGUGCUUGCACCAUGGCAACCAUGGCGGACGGGUGAGUAACGCGUAAGGGACUUACCUGCAGGACUGGGAUAACAGGGGGAAACUCCUGACAAGACCGGAUAAUGUCAUGGAGCUGCAUGGCUUUAUGAUGAAAGGAGACGCCUGCGGAGAGCCUUGCGUCCUAUUAGCUAGUUGGUGAGGUAAUGGCUCACCAAGGCGAAGAUAGGUAGCCGGCCUGAGAGGGUGGACGGCCACAAGGGGACUGAGAUACGGCCCUUACUCCUACGGGAGGCAGCAGUGGGGAAUAUUGGACAAUGGGGGCAACCCUGAUCCAGCAAUUCUGUGUGCACGAAGAAGGUUUUCGGAUUGUAAAGUGCUUUCAGCAGGGAAGAAGUAAGUGACGGUACCUGCAGAAGAAACGACGGCGAAAUACGU
rnacentral:rRNA from 1 species